AGGGUGAGCAGGGUCUCUGGAUGAUGGGCAGGUGUAGGGCCAUCUCUACGGGCGUUCUUUCACAUUCAAAGCCUCAGGCCAACAGUAAGUUUUAAAAUAAACAAUAGAUCUAAUUUGCUGCCUCAGGAAGCGUCAGUCAAGCGAAGUUACGUUUGCAGUGUAGUGUGAUAGAUCGACCUUAUGGGUUUAUUUCAGAAUUUUAAAGCUGUGGGUCCAUAUCUGGAUUAAACAGUCCCAGCAAAUGGGUUUUAUCUCAGUACACCACAGUGGAUUCAGGCAAGUAGGGUGGAUUUGGCUUGUAACUGCUUAACCACUGCAGUUCUGCUUGUGGAUGGUUUGUUUCAUUGUGUUUUUCAAGAGAGUGGUUCUUCCCAGGCUGCAGGAAAGCACCACUUCUGGUAUGUGGGUUAAUGAAGGGCUCGGUAAGACCCAGGGAGCUCUUCUGGUAGCAGUCAAGUGCUCCUUCUAUGUUAAUUAUCACCGUGUUUCUCAGCAAAGGUAAGGAAAGCAAAGUUCUUCAGCCGGUGCUGCUUUAUUGUCACCACGCUCCAAAUGCACGUUGGUGAAAUUCCUGAUUAUUUCCACGCUUCAGCUGAUGGUCCACAAGUGGUCACCUGCAGUCAUCGUUCAUCUUUUUUCAGUUGGAGAUGCUGCAAAUGCCAGAGAUGAGAUGAGGGGAAACACAUCAAGGCUUUCUUUGCUUCCUGCCUUUGAGCCUGUGAUGGGUUUCUGUGGGUCUGAAGUCCUGCUGUAAGAGCUCGCAGCAGCUGGAAGUGUAAUGCACUGCAGCUCGGUGCCUCCUGAGGCACUCGGGCACAGCCUGGAGGAGUUUAAUGGCACUGAGGAUGGUUUUACCAACGCAUGAACCAACAUGGGCUGAGAGAGCAACUCACAAUACCUUCCUGCAACAGAGAAAGUCCAGUUUCCAUAAUAAAUAAUGAGGAGGCGUUACUUCUGGAGCAACCUGUCUAUUCCUCAGUCAUCGAAGGUGCUGAAAAGCAGAUAAGGCUGCACGCUUGCCUCCUCGUCAGCCACCCCACAGUACUGCUGGUUACACCGCUGGUGAAUGCUAACGUCAAACUGAUUUGCUCCCAAGAAGCCACUGCUGCGUGCUCCUGCAGGGAUGCUGCGGGCUGCCCCCCGCUCUCUGCUGUGCUUUGUGUGCUCCACGGGUGUUCUCUCCCUGAAGCAGUGGUUACGUGGGAUUUGGGGCUCCCUUUCCAACCCCUCCUGCGAAAGGAGAGCACAGAAACAACAGAGGAGUCAUCACGUUGCUGUGAAAAUACACAAGAUGUGUUGUCAGCAAUAGCUGCAGUGAUUGCUCGGUGGUGUCCAGAACCAGAGAGAAGGAAAGAUCUUCAGACCAAGAUGGAAACAGCCGGGGUUCCUUGGAAGAGCUGAGCCUUGAGGGCAGGACUAAGACUUCGAAAGACGGUGAUGGCCGUGGCACCUCCUCCUGGGUUGAGUUUAUCUGUAUUUUAUCCACAGGGUGGCACAUGGACCUUCCUGGGGAGAUCUGAAUGGUAUCACAGCGCAAACAGCUUUUGUUCGGGUAGCCGUAGUUCAGGCUGAGGCACAGCUGCCCCAAAAUAGAGCCCAGACAGACAACGCCGAGGAUGGCUCGAGGCUUUGGGAGGACAUGGCAGAGGGAACCUUACCCUGUGUGGGGCACACAGAGCCUCGCCGAUGCUACACCUGCGCAGGAAGGAUAGGGGUGAUUUCCAAAUCAAUGUACCGGUGCUCAUUUUUUGUUUGUUUGUUUGAUUUUUGUUUUCAAAACCUGUGCAGGGCUGCUGGGUUGAUGUCACCACCGCUUUGUCUGGCUUUGGCCUGAGGGGCAGGAGGGAGUCUGGUCACCCCCGUAAUCCCAGCAGCCUCCAAUGGCAACGACAGCGCUCGGAUGAAUGAAGGCAGCAGCACUGUGCAAAUUACCUUUUCUUUCUUAUCCACAGUAAGACAGAUAAUAAUCCUCCUACGGGACUAAUUACAGCCAAUGAAAAUAACUCCCACUGCCAGUAUUUGAAGGAUAACCACUUAGAUGAAAAAGAGUGAAAAAUGAUUAUUAUUUUGUGCGUGGCUCUCUCUCGCCCCAUCUAUUCUGACCUCAGUAAAUCACAGUGUAAUUAAUCACUGAGGAUUAAACACCGCAGGGAAAAGAGUAGGAAAUUAUGUAUAAGCAAAACUUGAAAUGACUUUGACUUACCAUAAAUUUGGGUUAUCUGUCUCACAGAAUACAAUUCCUAGGCUGCCUCUUAUGGAAUAAAUCUAUCCCGACCUGUGUCCAUGAGAACUGUAUGAAUAGUGAAGACUGGAGUAUCGCUGGGUGUGUAAGAAACUAAUCAAAAAAGGCAGUGACUGUGGAAGAUGUGGGUUGGCUCUUCGGGCAUUCCAGCAGCAGAAAAAUGCACAGAGAUCCCUCAGCAGACAGGGUAGGACUUAAGUGCUCAUCUUUAAAGGUGGAAACCAGCCUCAGAGAGACUAGACAUUAAACUUUAUGUUUAACAAAGUGAAAAGAAGAUGUUCACUUAGCACUGAAGGCUAUUAGACACCAAAAAGACAAAGUAAAGGAUGUGUGUGUAUACGUA